rnacentral:rRNA from 1 species
GAUGAACGCUAGCGGCAGGCUUAAUACAUGCAAGUCGAGGGGUAGCAAGAUUGUAGCAAUACAAUUGUUGACGACCGGCAAACGGGUGCGGAACACGUACACAACCUUCCUACAAGUGGGGAAUAGCCCAGAGAAAUUUGGAUUAAUACCCCGUAACAUAGCGAUGUGGCAUCACAUUGCUAUUAUAGCUUCGGCGCUUGUUGAUGGGUGUGCGGCUGAUUAGAUAGUUGGCGGGGUAACGGCCCACCAAGUCUACGAUCAGUAGCUGAUGUGAGAGCAUGAUCGGUCACACGGGCACUGAGACACGGGCCCGACUCCUACGGGAGGCAGCAGUAAGGAAUAUUGGACAAUGGACGCAAGUCUGAUCCAGCCAUGCCGCGUGAAGGAUUAAGGUCCUCUGGAUUGUAAACUUCUUUUAUAAGGGACGAAAAAAGGUCUUUCUAGAUCGUCUGACGGUACCUUAUGAAUAAGCACCGGCUAACUCCGUGCCAGCAGCCGCCGUAAGAC